UAUAAUUGUGGCCGCUAGUGCCAAUGAAUCGAAAAGAUGUGAAAGAGGUAUGAUGUGAGAUGAUUGAUAGAAAAAGUUAAUGUCUUAGGUGAGACGGCCUAACCGAUCGGUCCGUGAUCGGAUGCCAUACCGCAUACAUGGUGGUUGUGUUGGAAAUUUUAAUUGAAAUUGAUUGUACUGGAUGCCUCAAAUGAGAUGACCUAGCUGAUCGGGUCGUGUUCGGACUCCAUGUAAAAGUAUGGUGAUAUCGUGAAUGAUAGUAUAUCGGUACUAAAACUCCCCAACCUAAAAAU
rnacentral:lncRNA from 1 species